rnacentral:rRNA from 1 species
UACGUAGGGUGCGAGCGUUAAUCGGAAUUACUGGGCGUAAAGCGUGCGCAGGCGGUUAUGUAAGACAGAUGUGAAAUCCCCGGGCUCAACCUGGGAACUGCAUUUGUGACUGCAUCGCUGGAGUGCGGCAGAGGGGGAUGGGAAUUCCGCGUGUAGCAGUGAAAUGCGUAGAUAUCUGCAGGAACACCCGUGGCGAAAGCGG